GGGGAUGUAAUGGUUUCGACGGGGAUUUUGAACCUUGGUAAGCGAGUAGCGGCGCGGAACCGCUCUAAAAGCCGCACCUUUAAAAUAACUGACAACAAUAAAGUUGCAUUAGCUGCGUAAGCGGCUCGUCCUGACGGAGAGUACCGCGGCUCUGUCAAGGGCGUCGACCAGCGGUAACUGUGAACCAUAGCUUGUCUCAGCUUUGGUCAUAACGUAGAGGCUACUUGAGUAAAAAGCCUGUUAUUGGGCGUUUUACAAGGGGAAUUACAAUUCAAUAACUACACUCGUAGAAAGCCUUGGCAAAGGAUUUUCGGACGGGAGUUCAAUUCUCCCCAUCUCCACCA
rnacentral:tmRNA from 1 species